UCCCUGGUGGUCCAGUGCUUAGGACAUUGAGUUUCCACUGCAGGGGGUACAGGUUCAAUCCCUGGCUGAGGAA
rnacentral:tRNA from 1 species